rnacentral:snRNA from 1 species
AUGCUUACCUGGCAGAGGCGAUACUUUGCUCAUGGUUCACCCAGAGAGAGGCUCGGCUGUAGCACCCCGGCUGUGCUGACCUUUGCCAAUUUCCCAAAUGAGGGAAUCUCUACUGCAUAGUUUUUGAUAAUUGGUGACUACAUACGUGCUCUCUAC